GUGAUACAAUUUUCUUGAAGUAGAGACAUAGAGAAGAGUUUCUGUGAUAUGUUGUUCAAGGGCUUAUUCCAUGUCACGGGUCACUGGAAGUGAUACAAUUUUCUUGAAGUAGAGACAUAGAGAAGAGUUUCUGUGGAGCUAAAGAUAGAGAUACACACUAAAGACAGAGUUGGGUUAUUAUAUGAUGCUAUACGGUCAAUAGCGUCAUAUAACGGUGUCAAUACUUACAAGGCAGAGACCGGACGGUGGCCGGAGGACGGACGGUGGUGGUCGGAGUAAAGCUAGAUGAGUAGAGCAGGGUGAGGAACUUGAAUGGGGGUUUUAAGCAUCAUGGUGCUGCUCCACAGAUUCAAAUGA
rnacentral:lncRNA from 1 species